UACGGGGGGGGCAAGCGUUGUUCGGAAUUACUGGGCGUAAAGGGCUCGUAGGCGGCCAACUAAGUCAGACGUGAAAUCCCUCGGCUUAACCGGGGAGCUGCAUCUGAUACUGGAUGGCUUGAGUUCGGGAGAGGGAUGCGGAAUUCCAGGUGUAGCGGUGAAAUGCGUAGAUAUCUGGAGGAACACCGGUGGCGAAGGCGGCAUCCUGGACCGGCACUGACGCUGAGACACGAAAGCCAGGGGAGCGAACGGG
rnacentral:rRNA from 1 species